rnacentral:tRNA from 1 species
GGGGUUACAGCUCAGUGGGACAGUGCAUGCUUAGCAUGCAUGAGGUCCUGGGUUCAAUUCCCAGUACCUCCA